rnacentral:rRNA from 1 species
UACGUAGGUGGCUAGCGUUGUCCGGAUUUACUGGGCGUAAAGAGCGCGCAGGCGGUCGUUCAAGUCGAGUGUGAAAGCCCCCGGCUCAACUGGGGAGGGUCACUCGAUACUGAUCGACUCGAAGGCAGGAGAGGGAAGCGGAAUUCCUGGUGUAGCGGUGGAAUGCGCAGAUAUCAGGAGGAACACCGGUGGCGAAGGCGGGUCUCUGGGCAGUAACUGACGCUGAGGAGCGAAAGCGUGGGGAGCGAACAGG